UACAGAGGUCUCAAGCGUUGUUCGGAUUCAUUGGGCGUAAAGGGCGCGUAGGCGGCGCGGUAAGUCGGGUGUGAAAUCUCGGGGCUUAACUCCGAAACUGCAUUCGAUACUGCCGUGCUUGAGGACUGGAGAGGAGACUGGAAUUUACGGUGUAGCGGUGAAAUGCGUAGAUAUCGUAAGGAAGACCAGUGGCGAAGGCGGGUCUCUGGACCGUUACUGACGCUGAGGCGCGAAGGUCAGGGGAGCAAACGGG
rnacentral:rRNA from 1 species